CUGGACCCCCAGCCCAGGCUCCGCCUGUCCUUGUGCCUUCUCAGCCUGCAUGGAGACCUGAGGCUCCCCUAACUGUCGCCAGGAAAUCCUCUCCUGCUCUCCACUCUUCCUGGAGGCUGCUGACCAAGGACCUUCGGGGGGAGAUGACGCCACCCUCGGUGGAAGAGCGCCGGCCCUCACUGCAGGGCAACACGCUGGGCCGUGGGGUCUCCUGGCUCCUCAGUCUGAGUGGCAGCCAGGAGGCAGAUGCCCUGCGGAAUGCCCUGGUGCCCAGCCUGGCCUGUGCUGCCGCCCACGCCGGUGACCUGGAGGCGCUGCAGGCGCUUAUGGAGCUGGGCAGUGACCUGGGCCUGGUGGACUUUAACGGCCAAACCCCACUGCACGCGG
rnacentral:sRNA from 1 species